CGUGUUUCCUGCCUCCUUGAUUAGUGUCACCUGUCCCUCGUUAGCCCUGCACUCACCAGACCUCUGUUGACAGAUCAUCAUCGUUGCUGUAUGGGGUUUUGUCACCUGUUGUGCCUACCUGCUUGUUACCUGCCUGACAUCUGGACUCUCACUGCCUGGAAGGACCUUCUGAAUGCUGCUAAUUAUCUCCAACCUGUUGUCCCAUUCAUCAGAAUCAGGACACAUUCCUGAACAACUGCAUUAAAAAGGCAGUGCAGCAAGCCCGUCCUCCACUACAGCACAGAUCCCAGGCUCUGCUCUUCAGACAUCUUGUGCGUCUCUGGUGAGUAAUCAGGUAAUUGAUCAUAGAGACAGGUAAUUAUUCCUGUGCCAAGCUCACUGGCAAAUGAAAAGUCCGGCAAAAGCAUCCGUCUCAGCCAACACAGCCUGGAGUAAGAGGACAAGGGAGGAGUAAAAAUGGGGCUCUGGGAGGAUAGAUGGCCAAACAAGAGAGGUUUUUAGCCCAUUGAGUCUAGAAGUAUUAGUAUUAGAGGUGCCUGUUCCAGAUGUUCAUGACCACAACCUCUUGAUGCAGGGACGGAUGCAGAGAUUGAAGCUGUAGUAGGCAGGUUGGAGCAAAUAUG